GGGGCUGCAGCGGGAAGCAAAGGAGAACGCGAGCUGCCGGAACACGGAGUCUCUUCGCAACCUACCACCCCUCCGGAAAUGCCAACCCCCCACCCGGAGCCCGCCUCCCUCCAGCCUCCUGCUUUCCUAAAACCUCCCCCAGGAGCCCCCAGGUGCUAAUAUGGAAGACGUUAACUACUUGAUGACCAGGAGCAUGAAGCCCCCAGACCUACUGGCUCCUAAGGAUUGAUCAUGAUAACCCCUGUGACCCCGCCCCAUGACCUCACCAUCAACCAAUCAGAGAACAGUACAUGAACUGGAACUCCCCUUCCUCACCUUCCCUGUGAAAAGGCUUGCCUGAACCUCUUGGGGGGAGUUUGGGGGGGUUGAUCACAAGCUGCCUUGGACUCCUUGCUUGGUGCCCUGCAAACACUGCUGCACUUUCCUUCACCAACACUGUGUCAGUAGAUUGGCUUGACUGCUGGAGGGCAAGCAGAUCCAGGUUUGGUUCAAUAACCCAUCACUGUGUAAUAAAGUAUCCUUCUCAGAGCACUGAGAAGGUCUCAGUCUGCAGGACUGCUUCAGUGAACUUGCAUCAUUUCCACGGAUCAAUCUCUAGGUUCAGGUGUUAAAAGAAUAAAUAAAUCUUGACCUCUGUCACCUGCCACUGGAGAAGAAAGGAAGCUUAAUACUUGGUGACAGCAUUAUCAGCAUCAGUACCUUGUCCUGCAAAGGCGGUGCUAGUGGUAAAGAACCUGCCUGCCAAUGCGGGAGAUGUAAGAAAUGCGGGUUCAAUUCCUGGGUGGGAAAGAUCCACUGGAGGAGGGCAUGGCAACCCACUCCAGUAUUCUUGCCUGGAGAAUCCCAUGGACAGAGAAGCCUGGCGGGCUAUGGUUCACAGGGUCACAAAGAGUCGGACGUGACUGAAUCGACUGAGCACACAGAACCUGCAAAACUCAGCCAAAGAAAUCUUGCUCCCCCCACCAAGUUCCGUUGAAAGUGGGUGACUUAAUAUCAGGAAAAUGUAGUUUUGUGACCACAAGAGAAAUUGUUUCAACAGUGAAAUGUCAAAUUCAAAAAAUUAACUUCUAAAUUUUUUAAUGUAACCUUAUAAGAUAAUCAAAUUGUUUUUGAGGAUAUGUCAGAUUUUUUUUGUAACCCAUGAACUUGGUCUUUGAUAUCCUGCUUCAGCAUUAACCAGGUAUCAAUUUUAACACCCAGUCACACCCGUUCAGUGAAAAUGAAUAUUCCAUGCAUCUGUAGUCACUGAGGACUCUGAGUCUGUCAGACUGAGUCUUCACAGUUCUGAAU
ensembl:lncRNA